GCUAAAAUGUUAAUUUUCUAGGAGUAUGCAGCAGCUACCAGUAAAUAUCCCAAGGGAAUGCUUGCUAUGUUGGACGGUUUAUCUCUACGUCUCGAAGGCCGUCAUCACAGUGGAAUAGAUGACAGCAAAAAUAUAACUAGAGUUGUGGUUGAGUUACUGAAGAAAGGACAUGUGUUUAAGAUCACUGGACGGAUAUAGUUACCUUCUCAAAUCAUCAUUACACAGAAAAGUCAUGGAUCAUUUACAGAACAGUUUCAUUUUCUAAAUCUCUCACUUGAUUUUAAAUUAUGUUAAAUUCAUAAAUCUUGUCUAUUUUAACAUGUUUUAUUAUAGAGACUAGAAUUGGUAGUCUUAAUUAUUUUCUUUCCAUUUCAUUAAAAAAAAAUUAAAACAUAAAUGAUCAAUCAUGUUACUGUAUGCAGGGUUCCUGUGUGUGAGUGAGUGGAUAACAACUGUAUGUUUGUACAUGCAUGAGAGACAAACAAACUCUAUUUACAUAUAAUUAUGUAUGGUGAUAUAAUGCUGCAUAUCAAAAACUUUACAAAAGAAACACUAAAGAUGAUAUGUAGCAGAACUGGGUUGGUCUGAAUGCCGGUGGUUAGAUGGCUCAAAUGUUUAGAGCGUCAAUUUAGAGUAUGGAGGUCCUGGUCUUGUGGUUUAAAUCCACAUCUGCAGCAUCUGUAAUCAUUAUUAGUUUUACUGUAUUAUUUGAUACUUACUGGCCGUUACAGGUUUGACUGUAUACACAUAGGCGAGCAUGUUUGUGUAUACAGACAUGUGUUUAAUAUCUACUAGUCUGUUCCAUUUUUAUACCUAUCUCAAUGGGUUGUGUAAAUCUGACUUUUAAUAGCAAGUUAUUGUGAUAUUAACAUGUGAGGGCCUUGGAUGAGUAAAUGAAACUUUGAAUGUA